UACGUAGGGUGCGAGCGUUUAAUCGGAAUUACUGGGCGUAAAGCGUGCGCAGGCGGCGCGUUAAGACAGGUGUGAAAGCCCCCGAGCUUAACUUGGGAAUUGCGCUUGUGACUGGCGUGCUGGAGUGUGGCAGAGGGAGGUGGAAUUCCACGUGUAGCAGUGAAAUGCGUAGAGAUGGUGGAGGAACACCGAUGGCGAAGGCAGCCUCCUGGGCCAGCACUGACGCUCAUGCACGAAAGCGUGGGGAGCA
rnacentral:rRNA from 1 species